rnacentral:SRP_RNA from 1 species
GCUGGGCAUGGUGGGGCGUGCCUGUAAUCCCAGCUACUCGGGAGGCUGAGGCAGGACAAUUGCUUGAACCCAGGAGACGGAGGUUGCAGUGAGCCGAGAUCCCACCACUGCACUCCAGCCUGGGUGACAGAGCAAGACUCUGUCUCAG